rnacentral:rRNA from 1 species
AGAGUUUGAUCCUGGCUCAGAAUCAACGCUGGCGGCGUGCCUAACACAUGCAAGUUGAGCGCUUGAGGGGGCAACCCCAAGAGAGCAGCGAACGGGUGAGUAACGCGUGGGUGAUCAACCUUCGAGUGGGGAACAACAGCGGGAAACUGCUGCUAAUUCCGCAUGACAUCCUCGGUUCGUUGGCUUGAAGAUCAAAGCCGGGGACCUUCGGGCCUGGCGCUUGAAGACGAGCCCGCGUCCGAUUAGCUUGUUGGCGGGGUAAUGGCCCACCAAGGCAACGAUCGGUAGCCGGCCUGAGAGGGCGGACGGCCACACUGGGACUGAGACACGGCCCAGACUCCUACGGGAGGCAGCAGUGGGGAAUUUUUCGCAAUGGGGGAAACCCUGACGAAGCAACGCCGCGUGGAGGAUGAAGGCCCUCGGGUCGUAAACUCCUGUCAAUCGGGAAGAAUGCACUCAACCUAACACGUUGAGUUGUUGACUGUACCGGUGGAGGAAGCUCCGGCUAACUCUGUGCCAGCAGCCGCGGUAAUACAGAGGGAGCAAGCGUUGUUCGGAAUUACUGGGCGUAAAGGGCGCGUAGGCGGCCUGGUAAGUCUCGCGUGAAAUCCCUCGGCUCAACUGAGGAACUGCGCGGGAAACUGCCCGGCUUGAGUUCGGGAGAGGGAAGCGGAAUUCCGGGUGUAGCGGUGAAAUGCGUAGAUAUCCGGAGGAACACCAGUGGCGAAGGCGGCUUCCUGGACCGACACUGACGCUGAGGCGCGAAAGCUAGGGUAGCAAACGGGAUUAGAUACCCCGGUAGUCCUAGCUGUAAACGAUGAGUGCUGGGUGUCGGCGGUCUAUAAUCCGUCGGUGCCGGCGCUAACGCAGUAAGUGCCCCGCCUGGGGAGUACGGUCGCAAGGCUGAAACUCAAACGAAUUGACGGGGGCCCGCACAAGCGGUGGAGCAUGUGGUUUAAUUCGACGCAACGCGAAGAACCUUACCUAGGUUUGACAUGGACGUGAUCGCCGGUGAAAGCCGGUUUCCUUUCGGGGCACGUUCACAGGUGCUGCAUGGCUGUCGUCAGCUCGUGUCGUGAGAUGUUGGGUUAAGUCCCGCAACGAGCGCAACCCUUGCCCUCUGUUGCUACCGGGUCAUGCCGGGCACUCUGAGGGGACUGCCUCGGUUAACGGGGAGGAAGGUGGGGAUGACGUCAAGUCCUCAUGGCCUUUAUGCCUAGGGCUACACACGUGCUACAAUGGUCAGUUACAGAGCGAUCCGAAGCCGCGAGGUGGGGGAAAUCGCAGAAAACACUCCUCAGUUCGGAUUGCAGGCUGCAACUCGCCUGCAUGAAGUUGGAAUCGCUAGUAAUCGCGUAUCAGCUACGACGCGGUGAAUAUGUUCCUGAGCCUUGUACACACCGCCCGUCAAGUCAUGGAAGCUGGUAGUACCCGAAGUCCGCUUAGCUAACCGCAAGGAGGCGGCGGCCGACGGUAAGACUGGUGACUGGGACUAAGUCGUAACAAGGUAGCCGUAGGAGAACCUGCGGCUGGAUCACCUCCUU